rnacentral:rRNA from 1 species
CGGGACGGGUGAGUAAUGUCUGGGAAACUGCCUGAUGGAGGGGGGUAACUACUGGAAACGGUAGCUAAUACCGCAUAACGUCGCAAGACCAAAGAGGGGGACCUUCGGGCCUCUUGCCAUCGGAUGUGCCCAGAUGGGAUUAGCUAGUAGGUGGGGUAACGGCUCACCUAGGCAACGAUCCCUAGCUGGUCUGAGAGGAUGACCAGCCACACUGGAACUGAGACACGGUCCAG